rnacentral:lncRNA from 1 species
GUAUAGUUGAACUUCAGGUGAGAUCAGUCUCUGUGCUUCCCUUUUGUCUUCAGUGGUAGAUUAAAAGCUUUCUUGCUGCCAGUACAAAUACUAUGUCAUGUACCAACAUGCCACAGCUGAUCUGAGAGCCCAGUGAUACUCUGACUGCAAAUUAUUAGAUCCCACCAUAGCCCCACUCCAUUGCUUAUUGAAAACUUAAUCAAGCUUGAAGUAAAGUCACAGCUGGGUCCUUAACGGUGAGAUGACCAAAGUCUAGAUAUUAGAACUUUGAUUUAGAAAAACUGAAAGCCGAACAUUUGAAAAAAGUGGAACUUUGAAACUGUUAGAAACAUAUUUGUAUUUAAAAAAAGACAAGCUAUACUGAAAACUUCAAAAAAAUGGUCUCAGAUACAGUCAGCAGAUUCUUCACCAGCCUCCAACUCGAACUCAAAACUCCAGAAGAAUGUGAGCAGUUAGAAGUUCCAAGCACAAAGAACUCAAUAACUCUCUGAGGAAGCAAUCUCUCUGAAGAUCUCAGAUGAAUCCCAGAUGAAUCUCAGACAAUUCUCCUACACAGGAAUUGUAACUCCCUUUUAAAUACACUUUCUUUUGUGUCACUCACUGUGGCUUCCUCAACUUUUAAGUCUACCAAUUACUAUAGAAGAUUUGCUUUAGGAUUGCCCAGAGGGCAGUCAGUUUGAUUCUAAUUCAUCACCCACUAUUGCACACAUGGGUCACAGACCUCUCCCACUCUAUGAUUAAGUGGGAUGUUUACACUUUCGGUGAUUAAAUCUAAAAAAUGCAGAUCUCCCCACUGAACUGUAAGUAGGAUGUUUAUACUUUUGGGGAUUAAAUCUAAAAAUGGGCAGGGGAGUUAAUUUAAUCUUUAUAAUCAGGGGAUAGUUUUUAAUUUAAUCUUCACAAGAGCAAACUGAGUACUCUUAGGAAACUCCUUACCUCCCCAUUUUCCCUCCUUUAAUAAGAAUAUAUUGUCUGAAUUUCAUUUUUCUGAAAUUUCCUCAAUAGAUUUCUAAUCAGAAAAUAUUUGUUUGAAUCUUAAUUAUGCUAUUUACUAUCUGUGUGAUUUUGGUUGAAUCAUUAAACAUUUAUGGAUUUUAAUUCUUUAUGUAUAAACUGAGGGAAAUGAAAUAAGCAUAUGAGUUUCCUUGGAGCACUAGAUACUAUGAUAUCUCCUUAUGAGAUCAUAUUUAACCUUUUUCUGAAUUACUGGAAAUUUUUU